AGAUACCGUCCUAGUUCUGACCAUAAACGAUGCCAACUGACGAUCCGUGGUGGUAGUGCUGUUACCUUCCCCACGGGCAGUCCCCGGGAAACCUUUAAGUGUUUGGGUUCCGGGGGAAGUAUGGUUGCAAAGCUGAAACUUAAAGGAAUUGACGGAAGGGCACCACCAGGAGUGGAGCCUGCGGCUUAAUUUGACUCAACACGGGAAAACUCACCCGGGCCGGACACUAUGAGGAUUGACAGAUUGAGAGCUCUUUCUUGAUUUGGUGGUUGGUGGUGCAUGGCCGUUCUUAGUUGGUGGAGCGAUUUGUCUGGUUAAUUCCGAUAACGAACGAGACUCCAGCCUGCUAAUUAGUGCGUUUGUCCACUGCAUCUGUGCAGGCGACGUUGGACGAGGCUGCUACCACGGGCAGAUGGCUUCUUCUUCUCUUUCUUGCCAUUGUGGUUCCUUUUGCUGUUGCCUUUGUUCCGACGGUGCUCCUGCGUCUCCUCUGCCUUUGCUGAGGGGCUUGGGGGCUCGGCGGAGCUGUGUGGGGCGCAGCGGAAUGGGGCUGGAGGGCAGUGGAGGGGUGGAGAUUGACGCCUGUGAUCGGUUGGUCAGUCUGAUGUUGGCCCCCGGGUGCGGCGCGAAUGCCUACUUCUUAGAGGGACAAGCGGGAGAAGCCGCACGAAAUAGAGCAAUAACAGGUCUGUGAUGCCCCUAGACGUCCGGGGCCGCACGCGCGCUACAAUGACGGUGUCAACGAGUCAGACCUUCUGGCCCGAAAGGGUUGGGCAAACUGGUCAAUCACCGUCGUGACAGGGAUCGGGGCUUGGAAUUGUUCCCCGUGAACGAGGAAUUCCUAGUAAGUGCAAGUCAUAAGCUUGCGCUGAUUACGUCCCUGCCCUUUGUACACACCGCCCGUCGCUACUACCGAUUGAAUGGUUUAGUAAGGUCCUUGGAUUGGCGCCAUUGUGAUGACCGCCGAGAGGUGGUCGUCCGACAGGCGCUGAGAAGACGACCGAACUUGGUCAUUUAGA
rnacentral:rRNA from 1 species